CUUUGAGUCUGCUUUGAGGCCUCUACUGGCAAUGUAGACAUCUUCAGUCCUUGAAAUAGGACUCUCCAUCCUACCUCAGCCUUCCUCUUUCCAGAUUGCUGUAGACCCCUGGGUUCUGGCACUAAUAGGCUCAUCCAGGAUCUACAGCAUUCAGAUGGUCAUAGACGGCUCCACCUCUUCCUCUUCACUUCUUCAAGGACGACCCUGCCCAGGUCUGUGCCACAAAGCCAGCCCACAGCACCCUGCUCUACAGUGAACCUUCUUUGUUUUUCAGACUCUGACACCGACUGGCUGUGUGAUCCUGGACAGACUGCAUCACCUCAUGGACAUUUUUUCAUCUGUGAGGGGAAGAUUUCCUGGCAGUGGUCUGAGAAAUGGUGGCAAGGACUGAAGGAGUUACAUGCAUGGAGAGUACUGUACCACCAGUUGGGCAGAGAUGGAAUUGCACUUCUUUUUGCUCUGUCUUUUCAUCAUCUUAGAAGUGGGUGGAGCCUCCUCUUCAUAAUUCCUACAGGGUUUAAUACUGAGGAGAAACUUUGUAAAGUAAAGGAUUUUUAGGGUUGGGGCGGUGGCACAGUAGGUAAAGCGCUCGCUGUGUCAGCCUGAGGACCCGGGCUGGUACUUACAACAAAGCAUGGUAUGAUCAUCAAUAAUGCCAGCACAGUUGCAUAACGACGGGCACAUCCCCGGGGAAUCAGCUGCCAGCCAAUCUCAUGCUAGGUUCAGUGAGCAAUUUCUCCCCAAAAAUAAGCUGGAGAAGGACAGAGGAUGACGCUGAACUUUGACCUCUGGCCUCCACACACAUGCAUGAGUGAGUGCACCCACAUCAACACACACACACACAUGUGAAAAACAAAUCUUUUAAAAUAAUAAUAUGGGUCCCUAAGUACUGGAAUUGAGAACAGUGCCUACAUCCCAACGUUUGUAAGAUGUCAGUGGACUGCAGAAUAAGUGUGGGGAUAGUCCUCAUGGUAAUUAUUUGAAGUUUCUUUCGGGCGGUAGUAAAUGUCAAAUUCUUUCCAU
rnacentral:lncRNA from 1 species